AACGAACGCUGGCGGCGUGCCUAACACAUGCAAGUCGAGCGAGAAAGUCCCGGCAACGGGAUGAGUACAGCGGCGAACGGGUGAGUAACGCGUGGGUAAUCUACCCUCCAGCUCGGGAUAACCUGCCGAAAGGUGGGCUAAUACCGGAUGAUGUUCCCGUGGGCAUCCUGCGGGAGGCAAAGGGGGCGAGCGUAAGCAGCUCUCACUGGAGGAGGAGCCUGGGUCCGAUUAGCUAGUUGGUAGGGUAAUGGCCUACCAAGGCGACGAUCGGUAGCCGGCCUGAGAGGGCGACCGGCCACACUGGAACUGAGACACGGUCCAGACUCCUACGGGAGGCAGCAGUGGGGAAUCUUGCGCAAUGGGCGAAAGCCUGACGCAGCGACGCCGCGUGGGCGAUGAAGGCCUUCGGGUCGUAAAGCCCUGUCGGGUGGGACGAAUUUCCUGGUGGCGAAUAACCACCGGGCUUGACGGUACCACCGAAGGAAGCCCCGGCUAACUACGUGCCAGCAGCCGCCGUAAAAC
rnacentral:rRNA from 1 species